UUCAUUAAGGUCUCAUCAAACUUACUACAAUUACAUGAAAACAGCAUCAAGUGCCUCCGAGCUCCCCUGAGAAUGCUCCAGUGCUGAAGGUGGCACUACUAAAAUGACAUACUAUGGAGGAUUGUGGGAUGCCUUCAGAGGGGACGGGGUGUACGUUAGAGGGCGAGUCUGCUCUUCUGGGACCUGGUGCUGUCAGACGCCCGUGACAAAGGGGAAGAAGAACAGGAGGAUUAGAGAGCUGAGGUAAGCCUGGCUUGUCUGCCGGGUGAGACAAGUUAUCAGUGGGAGCCAUGAGUGUCCCUCUUCACUCCAGAGACGGAGGAGAACAACAGCGGCGGUGUGACGCAUGGCUACACUUUGGCACGGCUGAGCCACCGAAGGCCUAAUCUCCCCGCACCUCCUGAUCCGCCUACUCACACACUCCUCACACGCUCUGUAGCCAUUAUUACUCUGAGAUUAUUGUGGCAGCGUGGCAGGAAUGGCCAUACGCACGUCUGCCCUAUUCACUCCAUCUCACACAGCUGUUACAUUCGCAAAAUAAUCACUCAGUCUGACGAUCAACCAAAUACUCGGCUGGGGAGCGGCUUGUUUAUUUCUUUUUUUUUCCCCCUUCCUGGUAUAUACUCUAUCCAUCUGCUGAGGGGACAAAGAACCUGGCAAUGACGAAAUAUGGUAAAUCAAUUAGGAAAUUCACAGUCUUUUUUUUCUGACUUGAAAAUAAUGUGACCAAUUUUACUGACACCGGAGACUCCUUCCUGUGUAGGUUGUUACUAUAGAAACAGGAAGGAGUCUCCAGUGCUCGUUGUUUCUAUUGUUAAUGUAGAAACCAUUAACACAUUAGAAUGAGAACUUUAUUAUAAACCUGUUAUUUUCAUUGUACUUGUUCGGGUCUGAAGGUCUGGACAUGUUUUGUUGGUCUAAAACCAAUUCUUCCCUUUUAGAAGAAUGAGAAGAUUCAUUAGGAACUGUUAAAUCAUUACGAUUUGAUUAGGACCCAUCGCGAUAACAUUUAGAUCUGGUAUUUAGGAGACGCCAGAUUACAACCCAGUAUUUGAUGGUUAAGGGCCUUGCUCAAGGGCCCAGCUGGGAUUUGAACUUACAACCUUUUAAUUAGAACACUGACUGACAUUUCAAUCAGAAGGAUUUGUCACACAAUCGUCAUGAAUCGUGAGGAU